UACAGAGACUGCAAGCGUUAUUCGGAUUCACUGGGCGUAAAGGGUGCGCAGGCAGCCAAGUGUGUCAGGUGUGAAAUCCCGAGGCUUAACCUCGGAACUGCGCCUGAAACUACUUGGCUAGAGUACUGGAGAGGGUAACGGAAUUCACGGUGUAGCAGUGAAAUGCGUAGAUAUCGUGAGGAACACCAGAGGCGAAGGCGGUUACCUGGACAGUUACUGACGCUCAGGCACGAAAGCGUGGGGAGCAAAAGGG
rnacentral:rRNA from 1 species